AAAAAUCCCCCCUGAACCUAGGGCAGCGUCCUACCCGUUGUUCCUACUGUGGGGUUCCUAUAGCAAGGGGUGAUGGGGGCGUCCCCCAGCAUUGCAUCCCUUGUAUACCUUCCCUGUUAUGCCUGGCAGUAACAGGUGCCUGGUGCCUAUUCUGCCUGACAGCAUAGGCCUGGUGAAUGGUUCCCGAGAGAAAAGGAGAAAGAAAAGGGGCCAUUACCUUGAAAAUCCCCCCAUUGGGGUUCCUGUAGCAAGGGAUGAUGGGGGCAUCCCUUGAACAUCUUCCCUAUUCUGCCUGGCAGGAAUAGGUGCCUGGCGUAUGGUCCCCAGGAGAGAAAAGGAGAAAGAAAAGGAGCCAUUACCUUGAAAAUCCCCCCAUUGGGGUUCCUGUAGCAAGGGAUGAUGGGGGCAUCCCUUGAACAUCUUCCCUAUUCUGCCUGGCAGGAAUAGGUGCCUGGCGUAUGGUCCCCAGGAGAGAAAAGGACAAAGACAGUGAGAAAGAGAAAGACAGUGAGGAAUUUUCCGCCAGUCUGGGGGACAUUCUACCCAAUUGCAUCCUGGAGCCAUUCUCCCAAGAAGGGGUUCCCAUACUCCACCAAAGGUUAGAGUUUGGUACUUCCCUUGAACUGGAGUCCCGAGUGGGACUUUCCUCGCAGUUCAGAGCGUGGUCAGGUGCCAGAGGGAGGGAUGCCAAUCCAGCCUUAGGAAAAGAAACCUUCCACGGGAGUCUUGGAGAUUGGCGGCCGUCCUAACGACUUAAGUGGCCGACCCGCGCCCACGUAAAAUUUGUCUAUUAGAGAUAGAGUCAGGAAGGAAUGGAUUAAUUCAUUCUCCAUCACCCUGAGGCUUAAGGUACUGAAUCUCUUCAAGCUGAAUGCCACAAUUUGCCCCAUAGAGUAGCCAUGGGCAGCAAACGUGGAUUCAUACAGCUGUCCGAGAAAGUUCCCGAUGGAGCAGUGAAUCUAGAUCCAUCCUUGAAAAAGAGAAAGGCACAAGGAAGAAAAGGGCACUUACCAGAACUCGAGCUCACAAGCCGAUGAAGCAAUUCCCCGUACGGGCCACCAGAAAUGAUGCGGGAUCGGUGAGCCGAGGAGUCGAAAGAAAGAUUUCUUAGACUCUCAAGAUCUGGCAGUAGUGCUCUUUUAUUUAGAGAAUAGUGUGGAAUAGCAUGGGGACAGGACCCAUGGGCAGGCAGAGCUUCUGCUGCUGCUGCCGCUGGCAUGGGGACAGGACCCAUGGGCAGGCAGAGCUGGUGCGUGGGGACAGGACCCACGGGCGGUCAGAGCUCCUGCUGCUGCCGAG
rnacentral:lncRNA from 1 species